rnacentral:lncRNA from 13 species
UGGUGGGAUAGAUUUCAGCAAGCAAAUGAGUGCAUGAAUGGGUUGGACUGCAACCUUGACUCAGGGGUAGACGUAACAUAGUAAACCUACAUCCGGCAGUAUGAUUAGUAUGAUAUUUUAUGUUUCGUAUGUCCAUGGACUGCAGUGCUAUGGCUGUAACAUCGUCCAGGGCCAGAGGUACAUGGACAUUGGCUGCUCCAACCCAGAGGUCAUCACCUGCACCCACUCACACAAGGGCUUCAAACAUCGCUUCUGCAUCAAGACAGAGAGCACAGCCCUGGGAAUUGUCCUGACCAGUGGAUGUGCCACAUCAAGACACUGCCAGCAACAAGAGCUGCCUGGAGUGCGCAUCCACUGCUGCACCUCAGACCUGUGUAACAGCACCCCCAACUGUCAAGCGAACACAUUGCAUUACAUCUACACACUGGCAAGCCUGCUGCUGCUGAGGUUGUGGUUGUGA